CGGCCCACCAAGGCUACGACGGGUAAGGGACCUGAGAGGGUGGUCCCUCGCAAUGGCACUGAAACACGGGCCAUACACCUACGGGUGGCAGCAGUAGGGAAUAUUGGGCAAUGGGCGAAAGCCUGACCCAGCAACGCCGCGUGCACGAUGAAGGCCUUCGGGUCGUAAAGUGCUUUUCUGAGGAAUGAGAAAGGACAGUACCUCAGGAAUAAGCCUCGGCUAACUACGUGCCAGCAGCCGCGGUAAAACGUAGGAGGCGAGCGUUAUCCGGAUUUACUGGGCGUAAAGCGUGUGCAGGCGGUUCGGCAAGUUGGAUGUGAAAGCUCCUGGCUUAACUAGGAGAGGUCGUUCAAUACUACCGAACUUGAAGGCAUCAGAGGAAGAUGGAAUUCCCGGUGUAGUGGUGAAAUGCGUAGAUAUCGGGAGGAACACCAGUGGCGAAGGCGGUCUUCUGGGAUGCUCUUGACGCUCAUACACGAAAGCUAGGGUAGCGAACGGGAUUAGAGACCCCGGUAGUCCUAGCAGUAAACGAUGUAGACUUGGUGUCGGAGGUGUCAAAACCUUCGGUAUCGUAGCUAACGCGAUAAGUCUACCGCCUGGGGACUACGGCCGCAAGGUUAAAACUUAAAGGAAUUGAUGG
rnacentral:rRNA from 1 species